GUAAAGGUGUGGCUGAAUCAGGUGUGAGAUUAUUGGGCUGGUGUAAAGGUGUGGCUGAAUCAGGUGUGAGAUUAUUGGGCUGUGUAAAGGUGUGGCUGAAUCAGGUGUGAGAGUGUUGGGCUGGAGUAAAGGUGUGGCUGAAUCAGGUGUGAGAGUGUUGGGCUGGAGUAAAGGUGUGGCUGAAUCAGGUAUGAGAGUGUUGGGCUGGUGUAAAGGUGUGGCUGAAUCAGGUGUGAGAGUGUUGGGCUGGUGUGAAGGUGUGGCUGAAUCAGGUUAUAGAGUGUUGGGCUGGUGUAAAGGUGUGGCUGAAUCAGGUGUGAGAGUGUUGGGCUGGAGUAAAGGUGUGGCUGAAUCAGGUAUGAGAGUGUUGGGCUGGUGUAAAGGUGUGGCUGAAUCAGGUGUGAGAGUGUUGGGCUGGUGUAAAGGUGUGGCUGAAUCAGGUGUGAGAGUGUUGGGCUGGUGUAAAGGUGUGGCUGAAUCAGGUGUGAGA
ensembl:lncRNA